rnacentral:rRNA from 1 species
AGAGCGAACGCUGGCGGCAGGCCUAAUACAUGCAAGUCGAACGGAUCCUUCGGGAUUAGUGGCGGACGGGUGAGUAACACGUGGGAACGUGCCCUUUGGUUCGGAACAACUCAGGGAAACUUGAGCUAAUACCGAAUGUGCCCUUCGGGGAAAGAUUUAUCGCCAUUGGAGCGGCCCGCGUCUGAUUAGCUAGUUGGUGAGGUAAAGGCUCACCAAGGCUACGAUCAGUAGCUGGUCUGAGAGGAUGAUCAGCCACACUGGGACUGAGACACGGCCCAGACUCCUACGGGAGGCAGCAGUAGGGAAUCUUGCGCAAUGGGCGAAAGCCUGACGCAGCCAUGCCGCGUGAAUGAUGAAGGUCUUAGGAUUGUAAAAUUCUUUCAGCGGGACGAUAAUGACGGUACCCGCAGAAGAAGCCCGGCUAACUUCGUGCCAGCAGCCGC